rnacentral:rRNA from 1 species
GGGUUGUGAGGUUAAGCGACUAAGCGUACACGGUGGAUGCCCUGGCAGUCAGAGGCGAUGAAGGACGUGCUAAUCUGCGAUAAGCGUCGGUAAGGUGAUAUGAACCGUUAUAACCGGCGAUUUCCGAAUGGGGAAACCCAGUGUGAUUCGUCACACUAUCAUUAACUGAAUCCAUAGGUUAAUGAGGCGAACCGGGGGAACUGAAACAUCUAAGUACCCCGAGGAAAAGAAAUCAACCGAGAUUCCCCCAGUAGCGGCGAGCGAACGGGGAGCAGCCCAGAGCCUGAAUCAGUGUGUGUGUUAGUGGAAGCGUCUGGAAAGGCGCGCGAUACAGGGUGACAGCCCCGUACACAAAAAUGCACAUGCUGUGAGCUCGAUGAGUAGGGCGGGACACGUGGUAUCCUGUCUGAAUAUGGGGGGACCAUCCUCCAAGGCUAAAUACUCCUGACUGACCGAUAGUGAACCAGUACCGUGAGGGAAAGGCGAAAAGAACCCCGGCGAGGGGAGUGAAAAAGAACCUGAAACCGUGUACGUACAAGCAGUGGGAGCACAGAGCAAUCUGUGUGACUGCGUACCUUUUGUAUAAUGGGUCAGCGACUUAUAUUCUGUAGCAAGGUUAACCGAAUAGGGGAGCCGAAGGGAAACCGAGUCUUAACUGGGCGUUAAGUUGCAGGGUAUAGACCCGAAACCCGGUGAUCUAGCCAUGGGCAGGUUGAAGGUUGGGUAACACUAACUGGAGGACCGAACCGACUAAUGUUGAAAAAUUAGCGGAUGACUUGUGGCUGGGGGUGAAAGGCCAAUCAAACCGGGAGAUAGCUGGUUCUCCCCGAAAGCUAUUUAGGUAGCGCCUCGUGAAUUCAUCUCCGGGGGUAGAGCACUGUUUCGGCAAGGGGGUCAUCCCGACUUACCAACCCGAUGCAAACUGCGAAUACCGGAGAAUGUUAUCACGGGAGACACACGGCGGGUGCUAACGUCCGUCGUGAAGAGGGAAACAACCCAGACCGCCAGCUAAGGUCCCAAAGUCAUGGUUAAGUGGGAAACGAUGUGGGAAGGCCCAGACAGCCAGGAUGUUGGCUUAGAAGCAGCCAUCAUUUAAAGAAAGCGUAAUAGCUCACUGGUCGAGUCGGCCUGCGCGGAAGAUGUAACGGGGCUAAACCAUGCACCGAAGCUGCGGCAGCGACGCUUAUGCGUUGUUGGGUA